rnacentral:rRNA from 1 species
GACAGGUCAAGGUGUAACCUAUGAGUGGGUAAAAGAUGGGCUACAUUUUCUAACACAGAAAAUACGAACAAACUAUGAAACUAGAAACUGAAGGCGGAUUUAGUAGUAAGUUAAGAAUAGAAUACUCAGCUGAAAUCAACGCAAUGAAGUGCGUACACACCGCCCGU